UGUGGGAUUUCCGAUUUUGAUCGUAGACCGCUAGGGUAGGAAAAGGAAGAGGAAAUAUUGAAGAUUUUGGUCGACUUUCGGAGGACGGUUUGGGCUGAGGAAGGUUUUAAUAGAAGAAGAGGUGAUGGUGUAACAGAGUAAAAGCCUAAUCCUUCAAUAUAUUUGAUAGCUGCAAAGGUGCUACUAAUAAGCCUCAGGAACUAGAUGACGCGGUUCCUAGGAGAUUGGUAGUACAUAUUGAAGGGGGAUAAAUUUCGACUGGAAACAAAGAAAAGAGGAGUAUUGUUUGCGAGUCUGGGUUUUGAGCGAUCAACUAGAAAAGGUUCAAGGAAGCUGUCAAGGGACAAUUAUGGAGAUUAUGUGAUCCCCAAGGGAAGCCACCAGGUGUAAUACAGUAGUACAGCUAGCUAGUUCCUAUAAUUAACUUGUGUCUAGUAGAAAUUCUUUCUUCAUUAAGAAUGUGGACUUGUUUGCAGAUUCAAAUUAGUAGAUAUGGGCCAUUUUGAACUGAUGCUCAUGAUUAGGUUUGUGUACAUGAGACAAUGAUGGAUUAGUGGAAAUUGCAAUGAAUGAUUUUGGAUGUGGAUUUUAUGGUUU